rnacentral:snRNA from 1 species
GGAUGUGAGGGCAAUCUGGCUGCAACAGCUGUCACCCCACUGAUCGCCAGGGUUGAUUCCGCUGAUCUAGCUGGUUAGGCGGGUGUCCCCUUCCUCCCUCACUGCUCCAUGUGCGUCCCUCCCAAAGCUGCCUGACCGGUCAAGAGGAUGGCCUUCCCCGAAUAGAGACGGACUGGUCUUCGGUCGAGGGUAUAUGAGUAGCUGCGCUCCCCUGCUAGAACCUCCAAACAAACUCUCAAGGUCCAUUUUCCUGUCUUAUAACCUGACUAUUUUAAAGAGUAAACCUGCUUGUUUACUCUUUUG